GCCAAAAAUUUGCUACCCUCAAAAACGUGCAAGAUCGUGCUGUUUUUGUUUUCUUUUCUAGCUUGAAUACAGGCAAGAGAGCUAGUAAGUAUAAUUGGAGUGACAGGUAAAUGUUUUUCUCCUCCCAUUGCAGGAGAAUAUUUAGCUCGAUAAACUUAAUGGUGUGGAAAUGAUUGCCUGUGGCUUGGCCACACACUAUGCACUGAAUGCAAGACUUCCAAUGUUGGAGGAACGACUUGGUAAAUUGGUCACAGAUGAUGCAUCUAUUAUAGAGAAAGCUCUUGCACAAUACUGUGAUUUUGUUUAUCCAGACAAGAGGAGUAUUAUUUGGAAGAUUGGUGCGAUCGAUAAAUGCUUUUGCCAUGAUACCAUUGAGGAGAUCAUCCAUGCAGUGGAAAGUGAGGCUGCUGAUUCUUACAAUGUGUGGUAAAAAACGACCCUCAAGAAACUGAGAGAAGCUUCUCCACUGAGCUUAUUCGUGAAGGGAGGUUUGAGACCCCUGACCGGUGUUUGGCUCGUGAAUGUAGAAUAUCACUUGGCUCUGCCUCUCAAUAGGUUUCUAAGGACUUCUCUGAGGGAUGCAAUAAUAUCCAUAUAUUUAUGAUCUAUCCAUGUCUAUUAUUUCAUUCUAAUGAAAAUACUUGCAAAACUGAAGGGAGUUGGAGCAUGGCCAGUGGACAAGGAUUUCGCGCCAAAGUGGAGUCCUCCGAGUUUGGGAGAAGUGACAGAAGAGAUGGUUGAUUUCUAUUUCUGUACACUUGAGGAAUCCGAGUUGGAACUCAAGCUGCUCACAGCUCUUCGAGAGCCAUCUGUUUGAGAUAGAUGGUCAGUGCCAGAUG